GUCUCUGUGGCUCAGUGGUAGAGCAUGCGAUUGCAACGAGCUCACAGCUUGUAACCAUCGCAGGGUCCCGUGUUCGAACCACGGCAGGGACU